CCACUAGCUCUGGGACCUGCACAGAUUGACAUAGAAGACCCAGUAGCCAGAGUACAGCAAGGUAACAGAGAUGUGCCAGUCAUGGAGGGCAGUGAUGAUGAGUUUUCUGAUUGAGAACAGUUUGGAGAGGAGCUUGAAGAUCAGGAUAGGACAUUGACACUGCAUGAGCUGAGCACUGUUGUGAAAGUCCUACCACCAACGUCAACCUUCCUGUACAUGGCAUUGUCUGUGCGCGUGUAUGUGUAGGCGACUCCAAGGUACUCCAAAAGGGACCCAGUGGCAGUGCAUAGUGUGACAGCAAAGUAUCAGCAGUAGCCACAGACAUCAGACACUUUUUAUAUCUAUUGUUAGUUACGCAAAGAAUUAUAAUCGUUACUGAUGGUAAAAAAAAUGUUUUUCAAGG